CUUAAGCAUAUCAAUAAGCGGAGGAAAAGAAACCAACAGGGAUUGCCCUAGUAACGGCGAGUGAAGCGGCAACAGCUCAAAUUUGAAAUCUGGCGCAAGCCCGAGUUGUAAUUUGUAGAGGAUGCUUCGGGGCAGCGACCGGUCUAAGUUCCUUGGAACAGGACGUCAGAGAGGGUGAGAAUCCCGUAUGUGACCGGCCCGCGCCCUGCACGUAGCUCCUUCGACGAGUCGAGUUGUUUGGGAAUGCAGCUCUAAAUGGGAGGUAAAUUUCUUCUAAAGCUAAAUACCGGCCAGAGACCGAUAGCGCACAAGUAGAGUGAUCGAAAGAUGAAAAGUACUUUGGAAAGAGAGUUAAAAAGCACGUGAAAUUGUUGAAAGGGAAGCGCCUGCAACCAGACUUCGCGGCAGUGUUCCGCCGGUCUUCUGACCGGUUCAUUCUCUGCCGCGAGGCCAUCAUCGUCUGGGCCCGCCGGAUAAGACCUUGGGAAUGUAGCUCACCUCCGGGGGAGUGUUAUAGCCCAGGGUGAUGCGGCGCGGCUCGGGCGAGGUCCGCGCUUCGGCAAGGAUGAUGGCGUAAUGGUUGUCGGCGGCCCGUCUUGAAACACGGACCAAGGAGUCUAACAUCUAUGCGAGUGUUCGGGUGUCAAACCCCUACGCGUAAUGAAAGUGAACGGAGGUGGGAACCGCAAGGUGCACCAUCGACCGAUCCUGAUGUCCUCGGAUGGAUUUGAGUAAGAGCAUAGCUGUUGGGACCCGAAAGAUGGUGAACUAUGCCUGAAUAGGGUGAAGCCAGAGGAAACUCUGGUGGAGGCUCGCAGCGGUUCUGACGUGCAAAUCGAUCGUCAAAUUUGGGUAUAGGGGCGAAAGACUAAUCGAACCAU
rnacentral:rRNA from 1 species